rnacentral:SRP_RNA from 1 species
CCGUGCUAGAUGGGGAGUUAGCGGUGCCCUGUAACUCGCAAUCCGCUAUAGCGAGGUCGAAUUCCUGUCCGAGGUUUGCAUCUGUGGGGUCCUGGCCCGAAUAAGUGACGAGGAUGAUUGGGUCCUGUGCAACGGAAAUCUACGAACCCUGCCAGGUCCGGAAGGAAGCAGCAGUAAGUAGACGCUUCCGUGUGCCGCAGGGGAGCCUGAUCGGAGUUAACUGUUCGGUUCCCGCCCGUAGGUGUUAAAUCGGAGACAGGUGCACGG